UCGAUAGACUCAUUUAUUUAUGUACUUAAUAAAGUUGUGUCUUUUGGUUUGUUUUUCAAUUUCUUGUCAAUAUUUAAAUUGUUUUAUUGUUUUAAUUAUUUAUCCUCAAUAAUUUAACUUUGUACAACGUGUUAACUGUUGCUAUUUAGCGCAAGGACAAUUAUUUGUGACCAAUUCAAGGUGAAUAAGUCAACAUAGGUCCCGAUUUCAUUUCUUUUUGAUCGGAUUCAAUGUUAUUGGGCGAACAGCAAAAAAAGUAAAAAUUAAGCAAAAUAAUGGCUAUUCAAGUGGAAAACAGUACUGGGCUUGGCGUGUGAAUCAACACUGAUUAUCAGCAUUGUAUUUGAUUUGGCAAGCUAAAACCAAAAUGACUGACCCAUGUUAAUUGUCAUUGUGUGCUCAAUCACAAACUUGAUUUCUGACCAGAUUUUUCCAACCUGUCACUCACAUCAAAAUUCAAGUGUAAUAGCCUAGUCAGCCAAGUUAUUACAGACAAGAUUAUUGAUUAACUGGAUAUUAAAAUGAUUAAUGAAUCGUAGAAGCCAGUAAACUUGGUUUAUAUCUCAAGUUUGCCACACACUCUUCAACCUGCCAGCCAACAAUGAACUCAUUCAAAUGAAUUGAAAAACUAUUGAAUUAUCAUCAAACAAUUAAGCUUGGUAAACACUCGCAAUAAAGCCUACAAAAUGGACAUUCAAUGAUUCUCUUGACCACCAGAUGAUAUUUACCUUACUCUUGAUUUAACCAUUUAAAAAUUUUUACCUCUACUCCCUCAUUGCCCAUCAGUCAACAGCUGCAAUUUACCUGAAUCCUUUUGUUUGGUUAUCAAAGGAUGCUGGAAAUUACAGAGGAAUUCAACAUUAUUCAAUGUUCUACUCGAAAUUGGUGAUUACAUAUGAAUUGUGUUGAGCAAAAAAAGUGAAUGGUAAAUCCUGUUCAAUAUUUCUUUGUGAGUGUUUCAAAAAUUUUUGAAAAAUACCUUAUUAUCAGCGAUUGUAAAUGAUGAUUAUGACUGAGUUUGGGUUUACAACAAAUUGCUGUUAAUAUACAUUUCUCAUGUUGAUGGCCUUCGUUUGUUGAAUUUUUUGUUCUCACUUUGUGCUUUUAAAAUAUUGGAGAUUCAGUUGAAAUAGAAACACGAUCUCCGAGCUUUCUCUUUUUUUCUUCUUCAUCAUCCAACACUCUUUUCCUCUCUGAUUUAAACUAUUCCCUGAGAACAAUAUAUUUUUAUAAUUAUUAUUUUAUUAUUGCAUACUGAUGUUACUGGGUACAUCUUGUAUUCAAGGUUAACAAUGGAUAAAACAAUUAAGUCACUUUCAUCAUUACCUUGAUUCAACCUCAACUUUUGUAAUUUGCCUGAAAUUAAAUCACCUUUUAUAAGAUACAAAAUUGA